rnacentral:rRNA from 1 species
GACGAACGCUGGCGGCGUGGAUAAGGCAUGCAAGUCGAACGCGAACGAGACAACUAAUUCGUUAGGCGUCUUUAGUAGAGUGGCGAACGGGUGAGUAACGCGUGAACAACAUACCUCUCAGAGGGGAAUAACAAAGGGAAACCUUUGCUAAUACCGCAUAAUUCAACUUAAUAAUUUUAUAUUGAUAAAAGGUGGGGACCUUCGGGCCUGCCGCUGAGAGAUUGGUUCGCGUCCCAUUAGCUUGUUGGUAGGGUAACGGCCUACCAAGGCGACGAUGGGUAGCCGGCCUGAGAGGGCGACCGGCCACACUGGGAUUGAGAUACGGCCCAGACUCCUUCGGGAGGCAGCAGUCGAGAAUCUUCCACAAUGGACGAAAGUCUGAUGGAGCGACGCCGCGUGAGGGAUUAAGGCUUUCUGAGUCGUAAACCUCUGUCAGAAGGGAAGAACAGUUUAAGUAUUAAUAGUACUUUAACC